CAGCACACCACACCGGCAACCAAGAACACCUCACCGGCGAUGGGCGAGGCGGCGGAGAGCAGCAGCAACACCCGUCGCGCCGCCCGAUGGUCCCUUCACGGCAUGACGGCCCUCGUCACCGGCGGCACCCGCGGCAUUGGGCACGCCGUGGUGGAGGAGCUGGCGGGUCUCGGAGCGGCGGUGUACACGUGCUCCCGGAAGGAGGCAGAACUGGCGGAGUGCUUGAAGAAGUGGGAAGAGUUAGGGUUUCGAGUCUCUGGAUCGGUGUGUGAUGUCUCCGUUUCUGAUCAGAGGGAGAAGUUGCUGACGAUGGCGGCCAAGAAAUUUGAUGGGAAGCUCAAUGUACUCAUAAACAAUGUGGGGACAAAUAUAUGGAAAUCUGGUCUAGAGUAUACAGGAGAGGAUUUCUCUUUCCUUGUGGCCACCAACUUGGAGUCUGCUUUUCAUAUGUGCCAGCUUGCCCAUCCCCUUCUGAAAUCAUCUGGGAUGGGGAGUAUCAUAUUUAUCUCCUCUGUUUGCGGUCUGGUCGCUGUACCGACUGGCGUCAUUUAUGCGGCAACUAAAGGAGCCAUGAAUCAACUUGCAAAGAAUCUAGCAUGUGAAUGGGCCAAAGAUAAUAUUCGUGUUAAUUCUGUUGCACCAUGGUACAUUAAGACUUCACUCGUGGAACAUUUACUCCAGGAUAAGGAAUUUAUGGAUAGGAUUGCGUCUCGUACCCCUCUUGGAAGAGUAGGAGAAGCAGAGGAGGUGUCGUCUCUGGUAUCAUUUCUUUGCCUUCCUGCUGCUUCCUACAUAACUGGGCAGACCAUUGCUGUUGAUGGCGGACUUACUGUGAAUGGUUCCUACUCUGGGAACAACUAGGCAGCAUCUGUUGUUAUUGGAUAUAGUCAUGCAAUGUAUGUUAUAUUCCGAGAUCGGAUAUAAUUUCAAAUGCACACACACAUCUUC
rnacentral:misc_RNA from 1 species